AGGACAUGUAAACAGGAGGAGAGCCCUUGAUCUGACUUGUUGAGGUGCCAGAGCUCCAGGAUAUCGUUUUGUCAGCCAUCACCCAUGCUGGGGUUUUUGGUGAUGCAGCUGCCUUCACGUUGUCUCUGAUCCCAACCUACUUUUUCAGGAUCCCAUCAUGCAGCAAAGACCAGCAUUUCUUCGGGAAUCUUCCAGGACUCCAGCACCAGAUUGGGACUGCUGAGACAUUCAGUCUUGUGGACUGAGCAACUACCAGAUUCUCGGCCUUUCCACUGGGAGAUUGCUCUUAUUGGAAUAUCCAGAGCACAGCCUACUACCUGGGGCUGCCUGGACAAGCUGUACCCACUGUUGACAGCAAUUGCUCACCAGCUUCCAUGUGACCAGGCCACACAGGGGAAGCCAGCUUCUCUGAAGAGGACCCUGAAGUUCCCACAGAGAGGCUGCAAGAUGAGAUCUGAAGAACUUUCCACGGUUAAAGAUCGGAUCUCUCCAUGUCUACCACUUGUUGCUAUGCCUUCCUGCUAUGCUGGACUCAUCCGUCUGGACCUGUAAGCGAAAAUAAACUCUUUCUUCUAUCUAGGAAAGUGAUCACAGAAUGGAAUUAGGGACCUAUAAGUUCUCAAUGAGAUGGAUCAGACCUGACGCUCUAUGGAUUUUCUUCCCGCUGUGGUUCCAGAGCAGUCUAACCCAGCAGGAGUGAGUACCUUCCAGCAGGUGACCCAGUACAAAAAAGUCUAAAGAAAAGCAGUGCUGGUUGUUUGCCUUCCCUUGGUCUGGAGUCCAUGUGUCUGUCUCUGCUGCGACUGUCCUCUUCUGACGUCAGACUCAAGCAUCUUCAGCCUUCUUCCAACACGAAUUGAACACUAGUGACUCCCCAGGAAUCCUCCAGACCUUCAGCACCAGACUGGGACUGCCAAGGUGAUGAACUUUGUGGACUAAACAGCAUCUCUAGUAUUGUGUCUCCUGUAUCCCAGGCUGGCCUUGAGCUCACUGACUUGCUGAGGAUGACCUUGGACUUCACCUGUCCCUAUCUCCCAAAUGCUGGGAUCACAGAGAAGUGAGCAAGCCAUCCUGUGUUCCGCUGCUGAAGCUACGAGCUGUUCCCACUGCCGCGAUGGACUGGGAGCCCACACAAAUGGUUCCUUCCUCCAGUUGUUUCUAUCAGGCAUUUUGACAUAGCAACAGCUGAGAUGACUAAUACAACAGAAGCUUUUGAUUUAACAAAGUCCAGCUUAUUGGCUGUGGAGCUGGUGAAUGCACUGGGUUUCU